GACGAACGCUGGCGGCGUGGAUUAGGCAUGCAAGUCGAACGGUAUCAUCCUUUCGGGGGUGAGAGAGUGGCGAACUGGUGAGUAAACACGUAGGUUAUCUACCCUCAAGACGGGGACAACCCAGGGAAACUUGGGCUAAUACCGGAUGUGAGCAACUUUUAGUUGUUUGAAAGGUGGCGUAAGCUGUCGCUUGGGGAUGAGCCUGCGUCCUAUUAGUUAGUUGGUGAGGUAACGGCUCACCUAGGCAAUGAUAGGUAGGCGGCCUUAACGGGUGGUCGCCCACACUGGGAUUGAGAUACGGCCCAGACUCCUACGGGAGGCAGCAGUCGAGAAUAGUCUACAAUGGUCGGAAGACUGAUAGUGCGACGCCGCGUGAACGAUGAAUCCCUUCGGGGUGUAAAGUUCUUUUAUAUGUGAGCAGUGCUUCUUAUAUUAACAGUAUGGGGAGAGAGAUAUUAGCAUAUGAAUAAGCAACGGCUAACUCCGUGCCAGCAGCCGCGGUAA
rnacentral:rRNA from 1 species